GUGGGGAAUUUUGGACAAUGGGCGCAAGCCUGAUCCAGCAAUGCCGCGUGCAGGAAGAAGGCCUUCGGGUUGUAAACUGCUUUUGUACGGAACGAAACGGUCCGGGUUAAUACCCUGGGCUAAUGACGGUACCGUAAGAAUAAGCACCGGCUAACUACGUGCCAGCAGCCGCGGUAAUACGUAGGGUGCAAGCGUUAAUCGGAAUUACUGGGCGUAAAGCGUGCGCAGGCGGUUUUGUAAGACAGGCGUGAAAUCCCCGGGCUCAACCUGGGGAUUGCGCUUGUGACUGCAAGGCUGGAGUGCGGCAGAGGGGGAUGGAAUUCCGCGUGUAGCAGUGAAAUGCGUAGAUAUGCGGAGGAACACCGAUGGCGAAGGCAAUCCCCUGGGCCUGCACUGACGCUCAUGCACGAAAGCGUGGGGAGCAAACAGGAUUAGAAACCCUUGUAGUCC
rnacentral:rRNA from 1 species